rnacentral:rRNA from 1 species
AUGAACGCUGGCGGCGUGGAUAAGGCAUGCAAGUCAAACGGUCCGCCUCUCGCAAGAGAGGCGAGAUAGUGGCGAACGAGUUAGUAACACCUUGGUACGUACCCGGAAGUCGGGCAUAACCAGCCGAAAGGUUGGCUAAUUCCCGAUAGUUCCCGCAAGGGUAAAGAAGCAAUUCGCUUCCGGAGCGGCCUAGGUCCUAUCAGCUUGUUGGUGAGGUAAUGGCUCACCAAGGCUAUGACGGGUAGGGGGUGUGAGAGCACGAUCCCCAACGAGGGAACUGAGACACGGUCCUUACAUCUACGGAUGGCUGCAGUCGAGAAUAUUCGACAAUGGGCGAAAGCCUGAUCGAGCGACGCCGCGUGCAGGAAGACGGCCUUCGGGUUGUAAACUGCUUUUGCGUGGGAAGAAAUUUGACGGUACCACGAGAAUAAGGGGCUGCUAACUCUGU